rnacentral:rRNA from 1 species
GUGGGGAAUUUUGGACAAUGGGCGCAAGCCUGAUCCAGCAAUGCCGCGUGCAGGAAGAAGGCCUUCGGGUUGUAAACUGCUUUUGUACGGAACGAAACGGUCCGGGUUAAUACCCUGGGCUAAUGACGGUACCGUAAGAAUAAGCACCGGCUAACUACGUGCCAGCAGCCGCGGUAAUACGUAGGGUGCAAGCGUUAAUCGGAAUUACUGGGCGUAAAGCGUGCGCAGGCGGUUUUGUAAGACAGGCGUGAAAUCCCCGGGCUCAACCUGGGAAUUGCGAUUGGGACUGCAAGGAUGGAGUGCGGCAGAGGGGGAUGGAAUUCCGCGUGUAGCAGUGAAAUGCGUAGAUAUGCGGAGGAACACCGAUGGCGAAGGCAAUCCCCUGGGCCUGCACUGACGCUCAUGCACGAAAGCGUGGGGAGCAAACAGGAUUAGAUACCCCGGUAGUCC